rnacentral:rRNA from 1 species
AUUCAACGCUGGCGGCAUGCUUUACACAUGCAAGUCGAACGGUAACAGGCCUUCGGGUGCUGACGAGUGGCGAACGGGUGAGUAAUGCAUCGGAACGUACCCAGAGGUGGGGGAUAACGAAGCGAAAGCUGUGCUAAUACCGCAUGUGAUCUGAGGAUGAAAGCGGGGGACCGAGCAGCAAUGUUUGGCCUCGCGCCUUUGGAGCGGCCGAUGUCGGAUUAGCUAGUUGGUGGGGUAAAGGCCUACCAAGGCGACGAUCCGUAGCUGGUCUGAGAGGACGACGCGCCACACUGGGACUGGGACACGGCCCAGACUCCUACGGGAGGCAGCAGUGGGGAAUUUUGGACAAUGGGCGCAAGCCUGAUCCAGCAAUGCCGCGUGCGGGAAGAAGGCCUUCGGGUUGUAAACCGCUUUUGGCAGGAACGAAACGGUGUCCGCUAAUACCGGGCGCUAAUGACGGUACCUGCAGAAUAAGCACCGGCUAACUACGUG